ensembl:rRNA 5S_rRNA 5S ribosomal RNA
AUCUAUGGCCAUACCACCCUGAACGCGCCCGAUCUCGUCCAAUCUCAGAAACUAAGCAGGGUCGGGCCUGGUUAGUACUUGGGCGGGAGACCGCCUGGGAAUACCAGGUGCUGUAGGCU